GUUUACUGGGUCUAACCCAUCGGUUAGCUUCUAAGCUUUGAGAUCCUUAGAAGAAUAACACGGAGGAACUGCAGGGCUGUUUGUGAAUGUGAGCCUCGCUGCCUUUCCUCAGAUUGUGUGGAUGUGGGCCUCACCCCAACCGACAGCCUGCAUUCAAGUAGUGCUGCUUUUGUUUUAUUCACGCCUGUGCUUAGAUGCUGGUGCGGCGGGCUUGGAAAGACAAGGGGUCAAUGGACGGGAAAUGCUUUCAUCGCGCCUGACUCUUUGACUCCAGUCCGCCAUUGUGUUUACGGGCCAAGUUCACGCCUCCUGAUGGGGUUUCCAGAUCUCCAUUGAGCGUUGCUCCAAUUUGAGAGACAUCUUUAUUUGCUUUUUUUUUUUACACUUGAACUGACGCUAACAGAACUUUAAGGGCGGGUGAUAAUAUUGUAAAUAACUUAUUUACCUUCACUAUUUAUUUCUUAUUUGCAAGAUCCAGACACAUUGCAAUAAAAUGAAGCAUCACUAAAGCAGGAUUUCUUUUCUUCUCCCGCUUGACGGCUUCCUCGUUAUCGCUCCAGUUAUAUAUAGUCUGGGUCAAAGGGAAGACAGUCUGCAGACCCCCAAAGGACGGAUGACUCAGUCCUUCAAAGAGACUGAAAUAGAAAGGACUAUUCACCUCCUUCGACCUCAUCUUAACCCACCUUCCCUCCUCGGACCUGACAAACACUGGGCGUACUAAAGACAACAUCCUUCUCACGACUUGCUGCCAGUAUCCUGAGAAAGGUGUACCCAGGCUCAUGCAGAAUUUCGCAG
ensembl:lncRNA